rnacentral:rRNA from 1 species
AUUGAACGCUGGCGGCAGGCUUAACACAUGCAAGUCGAGCGAGAGGCGGACGGGUGAGUAAUGUCUGGGAAACUGCCUGAUGGAGGGGGAUAACUACUGGAAACGGUAGCUAAUACCGCAUACCAUCAGAUGUGCCCAGAUUGGAUUAGCUAGUAGGUGGGGUAAUGGCUCACCUAGGCGACGAUCCCUAGCUGGUCUGAGAGGAUGACCAGCCACACUGGAACGGGUACACGGUCCAGACUCCUACGUGAGGCAGCAGUGGGGAAUAUUGCACAAUGGGCGCAAGCCUGAUGCCGCCAUGCCGCGUGUGUGAAGAAGGCCUUCGGGUUGUAAAGCACUUUCAGCGAGGAGGCGUUACUCGCAGAAGAACCACCGCCUAACUCCGUGCCAGCCGCCGCGUUAAUUC